ACGGCCACAUCACGUUGAAACACCGAUUCCCGUACGAUCACCCAAGUUAAGCAACGUCGAGCCUGGUCAGUACGUAGAUGUUUGGGAAUAUCAGGUGCUGUAAG